rnacentral:rRNA from 1 species
CCAGCAGCCGCGGUAAUUCCAGCUCCAAUAGCGUAUAUUAAAGUUGUUGCAGUUAAAAAGCUCGUAGUUGGAUUUGUGGCGUACGGUGUGUCCCGGGCACUUGUUGUCUGAGUGACCUGCCGUUGCCAUCCUUGGGUGGAACCUGUGUGGCAUUAGGUUGUCGUGCAGGGGAUGCCCAUCAUUUACUGUGAAAAAAUUAGAGUGUUCAAAGCAGGCUUAUGCCGUUGAAUAUAUUAGCAUGGAAUAAUGAGAUAGGACUUUUUUGCUAUUUUGUUGGUUUGCGCAAAGAGGUAAUGAUUAAUAGGGACAGUUGGGGGUAUUCGUAUUCCAUUGUCAGAGGUGAAAUUCUUGGAUUUUUGGAAGACGAACU